GACGAACGCUGGCGGCGUGCUUAACACAUGCAAGUCACGGGGGCCCGCAAGGGCAACCGGCGAACGGGUGCGUAACACGUGAGCAAUCUGCCGAUCUCUGGGGGAUAGCCGGCCCAACGGCCGGGUAAUACCGCAUACGCUCAUCGGGGGGAUUCCCCUGGUGAGGAAACCUCCGGGGGAGAUCGAGGAGCUCGCGACCUAUCAGCUUGUUGGCGGGGUAAUGGCCCACCAAGGCUACGACGGGUAGCUGGUCUGAGAGGAUGGCCAGCC
rnacentral:rRNA from 1 species